rnacentral:rRNA from 1 species
CCUACGGGGUGCAGCAGUGGGGGAUAUUGCACAAUGGGGGAAACCCUGAUGCAGCGACGCCGCGUGUGGGAAGACGGUCCUCUGGAUUGUAAACUACUGCCCCCAGGGACGAAGAUGACGGUACUUGGUGAGGAAGCUCCGGUUAACUACGUGCCAGCAGCCGCGGUAAUACGUAGGGAGCGAGCGUUGUCCGGAAUUACUGGGUGAAAAGGGAGGGUAGGCGGGACGGCAGGUUGGGUGUAAAAUCUACCGGCUCAACCGGUAGCCGCACUCAAAACUGCAGUGCUUGAGUGAAGUAGAGGCAGGUGGAAUUCCUAGUGUAGCGGUGAAAUGCGUAGAUAUUAGGAAGAACCCCGGUGGCGAAGGCGGCCUGCUGAGCUGUUACUGACGCUGAGGCUCGAAAGUGUGGGGAGCAAACAGGAUUAGAUACCCGGGUAGUC